UACGUAUGGAGCGAGCGUUGUCCGGAAUUAUGGGGCGUAAAGGGUACGCAGGCGGUUUAAUAAGUCGAAUGUUAAAGAUCGGGGAUCAAACCCGUAAAGCAUUGGAAACUGAUAAACAUGAGUAGUGGAGAGGAAAGUGGAAUUCCUAGUGUAGUGGUGAAAUACGUAGAUACUAGGAGGAAUACCAGUAGCGAAGGCGACUUUCUGGACAAAAACUGACGCUGAGGUACGAAAGCGGGGGGAGCAAAGAGG
rnacentral:rRNA from 1 species